AAAAUUUGUUAUUAAUUUGAUUUAUAUGUAAAUUUUUGUGUGAAUUUAUAUUAAUUUUAAAAAUUAUUAUAUUUAUUUUAUCCGCAGUAAUUAAUUUUAUUAAUUAAAGAAAUUUAGAAAUAGCAAUAUUAAAAAGUAUAGAUAAAAUUGGUGCCAGCAAUCGCGGUUAUACCAAUUAUACAAAUGAAUUUUUUCAGUAAAAGUUAAAUAUAUGUAUAUAUAUAUAUAUAUAUAUAAUUAAUAUAAAUAUAAUUAAAUUUAUUAAGUGAAAUUUUAAAUUUAAAUUUUUAUUAAAAAAUUAAUUGAAGCUUGAAAAUUUUAUUAAA
rnacentral:rRNA from 1 species